GGAAGCGUAUCGAAGUGGUCAUAACGGGCCUGACUCGAAAUCAGGUAGCCCCUCUGGGGCUCGAGGGUUCGAAUCCCUCCGCUUCCG
rnacentral:tRNA from 1 species